GACGGAGGAUGCAAGUGUUAUCCGGAAUCACUGGGCGUAAAGGGCUCGUAGGCGGCCAACUAAGUCAGACGUGAAAUCCCUCGGCUUAACCGGGGAACUGCAUCUGAUACUGGAUGGCUUGAGUUCGGGAGAGGGAUGCGGAAUUCCAGGUGUAGCGGUGAAAUGCGUAGAUAUCAAGAGGAACACCUGAGGUGAAGACGGGUUGCUGGGCCGACACUGACGCUGAGUGCGCGAAAGCCAGGGGAGCAAACGGG
rnacentral:rRNA from 1 species